GCCUGAGGAAGUUGAUCUCGUCAGUCAGCCCUUCCAGGCGAGACUCCAGCUCUACCUUAUUCAUGAUUCUAAUGGAACACGAGUGAACUACCUUUCCCAGCUUCUCCAGCAAUAACGUGUGAUCAUAUGACUAAGUUCUCUCUCCUGGAAUGUGAGUGAAAUGAUGUCCACCCCUGUCAGGAGGGGCUUAAGAGAGUUACGGAGUCUCUGCCACAUGGUGCUCAAUCCAUCAUGGGCUUUUUUUUAACUUAAUAGUUAAGUAAAAAGAUCUCUAGUUUCUUUGCCAAGACUCAGAUUCUACUCUCUAAACUCUUGGUGAGCAUAUGAACUGUUCUCUCUGAAAAGUAAUUUGACAAUAUCAAUGGGAAUUUUGAACAUUCCACUACUAAAAAUUAUAAUUAUGCUACAAACUCAUAUGUACAAAGGUACUUGUGAAAAAAUUGUCAUUGUAGCAUCUUUUAUAAAAGCAAAGUAAAAGAAAAAGUAGAAGAAAGCAAAGUACAAUGUAUCUCUAUGCAAUGGAAUAUUAUGCAGCUAUUGAUUGGUAUAAAGCAGACUUACAUGUACUGAUAUGAAAUGAUAAUCUCCAAUAUAUAUAUAUGUAAACACACACAAAAUAGGCAUAUAUACCUCUAUUUCUGUUUUAAUGACAUAUUAAUAUAAUCAUAUUUAAUAACUCACCAAAGUGAAAGAUAUAUAUCAUAUUAGAAUGGUUGUCUAUGAGAGGAGGGAGGGAAAUGGGAGUGUGGAAUGGGGAUAAAUAAAUGGAUGGAUGGUGUGUGGGUGGUGAUGGUCAGAUAGACAGGUAAAUAGGCCUUCACAGACCAAUGAUGAUCAUUUUAUAUAAAUAUAUAUAUAUAUACAUAUUCAGUCGUCUGUCAGUGUCCAUGAGGGAUUGGUUCCAGGACCCUCCUCAGAUACCAAAAUCUACAGAUGCUCAAAUUGCUUAUACAAAAUGGUGUAGUAUUUGCAUAUAACCUAUACACAUUCUCGCACACACUCUAAAUCAUCUCUAGAUUAUUUAUAAUACCUAAUACAAUGUAAAUGCUAUAAAAAUAGCUGUUAUACUUAAUUAUUUAGGAAUAAUGACAAGAAAAAAACUCUGUACAUGUUCAGUACAGAAGAAACUAUCCUUUUUUUUUCAAAUAUUUUUGAUCCGCAGUUUGUUGAAUCUGUGGAUGCAGAUCCACAGAUAUGGAGAGUCAACAUAUAUAUACACCCAUACACACACAUACAUAUGAAAGACUCAUAUUUGUUAUAAUUAGUUUUAUAAUGAAUAAAAUAUGCUCAUUUAUAAUUCAUAUGUAUGAUUCACUUAUGUAUAUUAUUUCAUAAGCAUAGACUGUUUCUGGAAAGAUAGACAAGAAGCUAUUAGCAAUGGCUGCCUCUGGGAAGUGAAAAUAGAGAUUACAGGACUUUUAUUUUUCACUUUCUACCUCUCUGUACUAUUCAAACUUCUUAUCAUCAUCUUCUAUCACUUUUAUUAUUUUUUAAAAUAAAACAUAGAAUUUCAGUUCUUGCAGAAGUGAGAAUCUGACUAAGGCAACAAGAGGUACACUUUACCCUAUUUAAUCAAGUCUUUCGAGAUUACAUGAUUCAGUCUUCUUUCUUUUUUUUUUUUUUUUUUUUUUUUUUUUUGAGACAGUGUCUCGCACUGUCGCCCAGGCUGAAAUACAAUGGCGCGAUCUCGGCUUACUGCAACCUCCACCUCCCGGGUUCAUGCAAUUCUCCUGCCUCAGCCUCCAGAGUAGCCGGGAUUACAGGCACACUCCACCACACCUGGCUAAUUUUUUGUAUUUUUAGUAGAGACAGGGUUUCACUAUGUUGGCCACACUGGUCUCAAACUCCUGACCUCGUGAUCCACCCGCCUCAGCCUCCCAAAGAGCUGGGGUUACAGGUAUGAGCCACUGCACCCGGCCCAU
rnacentral:lncRNA from 10 species